rnacentral:rRNA from 1 species
AUACGUAGGGGGCGAGCGUUGUCCGGAAUGACUGGGCGUAAAGGGCGUGUAGGCGGUUGUCUAAGUCGGGAGUGAAAGUCCUGCUUUUAAGGGGGGAAUUGCUUUGGAUACUGGAUGACUUGAGUGCGGAAGAGGUAAGUGGAAUUCCCAGUGUAGCGGUGAAAUGCGUAGAGAUUGGGAGGAACACCAGUGGCGAAGGCGACUUACUGGGCCGUAACUGACGCUGAGGCGCGAAAGCGUGGGGAGCGAACAGGAUUAGAUACCCUGGUAGUCCACGCGGUAAACGAUGAAUGCUAGGUGUUGCGGGUAUCGACCCCUGCAGUGCCGGAGUAAACACAAUAAGCAUUCCGCCUGGGGAGUACGGCCGCAGGGUUGAAACUCAAAGGAAUUGACGGGG